AUUGUGAAAGAUCUACCGGAAGUAGACUCAUCUUGUUGAUGGAAAACGAUGCAUAGCAGACUUCACAGCGGUCAUUGAAAAGGGGGCCGGACUGCGUCCAGUUUUCUUCCUACAAGAACCUCCAGACUCUACAGCGGACAGUCUUGACCGGGACAGUAGGAUGUUUACUUUAAAGACCGUAAGAAAAAAUAAAAGGUACAGCUUCUAUCGACCUGCUAAACUUUUAUAAAGUGUUUGUCAUCUCCAAGUUCAUCCUUUGCUUCGCCGGAGUCGCUGCGGGCAAGUGACCGGCAUCGACAGAAGACUGCUUUUCCUCCUCCACCAGAAGUCUCAACAACUGUGUCAGUCUGUGUGAACAUGCUCACGAGGAACGAUCACGUCUGUUCAAAGUCAUCCUGAAUAAAGGAUGCAGAAGAAGAGCUGGUUCACGGGGAAGUGGUAUCACAGCUUUGAUCCAUCAGAGGAAAGUCAAAGGACGUGAGGCGCAGGGAAAUAGUUUAAUGUGAAAAAGAGUGGUGCUGACUUAGGAUAACACAAAUAUAUAUAUGCCGAAUUAACAAGCUAGUGUUUUAAAACUUUUACACGUCUUUACUUCGACUCUACCUGGCAAAUAGCUCUUUAGAUAGCUUAAAUAAUAAAAAAUGAUGGAUUUACUUAUUGGGUUUCGCAAAACAUCUUAGAUCAGGGAAACAUAUAAUAGCACUUUCUACAGCAAGAGCUCAGGGUGGACACUUUAACUGAUGCUUGUUAAAUGAGUUGGAAUAAAGAGAAAAUAAUAACUUGACACAUAUCUACAUUCCUCUCUUCCAUGUUGCACUUGGCAUGACAUUGUACAAUUGAAAUUUAAAUGUAUUUAAGUCACAUAGAAAAAAUUGUUUUUACUUUGAAUAAAAUAAGACAUGAGAAGGUG